GACCACGUGGCCGUUCCAUGUGGGAAAGUCUGGGUGCUUGCUCCUCAGAAAGGGGAAGCUGGAGGGUGACGGCGGAAAGCGGUCCUUCUCACCCCGGCAGGGGACGUCCCAACUUCAGCUCUACCAGCCUUUGGAGCUCCUUCACCCAGAGAAGACCGGCACCCCAUCAGAAACGUUACCAUGCUGAGUGACCCUGAGUCAUCGGAGCAGGUCACACUGUGCCAGCCCGUAGAAAGCUGGUUUAUCUCUUAAUUCAGGCAAAAGACCCUGUGGGCCAAGCAAGCCGGCGAGACCCCGCCGUCUGACCCCAAGACAAGGAUCCACCUGACCUUCGCUGCCUACCUGCACGUCCCCACCGACCGUCCGCAUUUUGCUUCUAUAAACCGGGAAGCAUUUUCAACCCUCUCUUUGAGACUCUAGUCUGCUGUCCUCCUGGUCUUGGCCUCGCCGAAAUAAACCCCUUUCUCAUUCCGCUGCCGCUCGUCUCUCUGCUUUGGAUUUUGUCAACCGAACUUGGUCUGUUGGGGACCCCUGGAGCCGGUUCUUGGACCCCGGCCCCCCAGUUCCGGGCUGCCGCCCAGGACCCCACACCUCUGAGCGCCCAGCAAGAUGAGGGCUGACAACUGUGGGAACAGCGCCCGGCGGACACGAGGUUCUGUACAAAUAUUUGUCCGCUAACGUCCAUUCAGCCAUGUGAG
rnacentral:lncRNA from 1 species